UGGUACAGGGAACGCCUAACCGCCUCCGGGCGGCCGGCCGAUCCUGUGGCGAGCCUGGGUAACGCCAGGCCGUCGCAACGCGCGCAAAGGGGUGGGCUCGAAAGAGCUUAAGGUACGUGCUAAUCCCGGGCGAAAGCCCGACCCCCCGAGAAGGCCCGGCAGGCCGGAUGCGGGGGGGGGGCCCGCCUGACCGCGGGCCGGUAUUCGAAUGCUGUGAUGCCCUUAGAUGUUCUGGGCCGCACGCGCGUUACACUGACAGAGCCAGCGAGUACUCCCUUGGCCGGAAGGCCCGGGUAAUCUUGUUAAACUCUGUCGUGCUGGGGAUAG
rnacentral:ncRNA from 1 species